AGAACAAUGAGGAGGCAUCUAUAAAAUUAGUCUCUUCAUGAAACAACGUUGAGGUAUAUCAAAAUCAAAGGCCGAGAUAUCGUUUCAGUCGUCAUUUUUUCUCCAUUGACGCUCUGAUUGUUGCUCGUCCACAC